rnacentral:rRNA from 1 species
GCGUGCGCUCGGGCUGGUCGGCCGUCAAGGUCUGCACCGUUCGGGUCACGCCCCACUGUAGGAUACUCACCGCUGUCCUUAACUGGGUGGCGGUCAAAGGGGGUGUGUAUGGGGGCAACUCUGUGCAUGCUUCUGGGGUUCCUACUCUUUUACUUUGAGCAAAUUAGAGUGUUCAAAGCAGGCAAUCGAGCCUUGAAUACUUCAGCAUGGGAUAAUGGAACAGGACUGGGGUCCUGAUUUCGUUGGUUUCUAGGAUUGACGUA